rnacentral:rRNA from 1 species
AUGAGGAAGCUUGCUCCUCUGAUGUUAGCGGCGGACGGGUGAGUAACACGUGGGUAACCUACCUAUAAGANUGGAAUAACUCCGGGAAACCGGGGCUAAUGCCGGAUAAUAUGCAGAACCGCAUGGUUCUGCAAUGAAAGACGGUUUUGCUGUCACUUAUAGAUGGACCCGCGCCGUAUUAGCUAGUUGGUAAGGUAACGGCUUACCAAGGCAACGAUACGUAGCCGACCUGAGAGGGUGAUCGGCCACACUGGAACUGAGACACGGUCCAGACUCCUACGGGAGGCAGCAGUAGGGAAUCUUCCGCAAUGGGCGAAAGCCUGACGGAGCAACGCCGCGUGAGUGAUGAAGGUCUUCGGAGUCUGUAAACUCUGU